rnacentral:rRNA from 1 species
CCUGGUUGAUCCUGCCCAGUAGUCAUAUGCUUGUCUCAAAGAUUAAGCCAUGCAUGUCUAAGUACAAGCCCGAUUUAAGGCGAAACGCGAAUGGCUCAUUUAAAUCAGCUAUGAUUCAUUGGAUCUGUACCCACACUUUACUUGGAUAACUGUGGUAAUUCUAGAGCUAAUACAUGCACCACGUCUCUGACCGCAAGGGAAGAGCGCUUUUAUUAGUUUCAAACCGGUCGGCGCCUCGGUCCGUCACCCCACCGUGUUGAAUCUGAAUAACUGUCGUCUGAGACGCACGGUCUCCGCCACCGGUUCGCCGCCUCUUUCAAAGUGUCUCCUUAUCAGCUUUCGAUUGGUAGGUUAUGCGCCUACAAUUGGCUCUAUAACCGGGUAACGGGGAAUCAGGGUUCGAUUCCGGAGAAGGAGCACUGAGAAACCGGGCUACCACAUUCUAAGGAAGGCAGCAGGGCACGCAAACUUACCCACUCCCGGCACGGCGGCGCAACCCUCAAAAACAUCAUACACCCCCUCCGCAGCCCAAACGAACCAUCCCAUCGACCCCCGCCCCCGCAAACAAACGACACGGACACUCCUCACUAAGUAGUGAUCGAAAAAAAUAACGAUGCGAAGACUCAUCCGAGGCCUCGCAAUCGGAAUGAGUACACUUUAUAAUCCUUAUAGACGAAGGGAUCUAUUGGAGGCACAGUCUGUGCACAGCCGCGGUAAUUUCCAGGCCUCCAAUAGCGUAUAUCUAAAGAAACUUACUAGAUACAAUAGUGUUUGCGGUUAAAAAGCUCGUAGUGUGGAUUUCAGUCUGGACUGACGUGUCACCGCCCUGCAGGUGCAUACUCGUCACGCUCGAACAGCCACACCACAGCCCGCUGGCUCCCACGGCGUGCUCUUCUCGACGACCUGUCCCGCGUGGCGCAGAGUUACUUUGCAAAAAAUUAGAUGCUCAAAGCAGGCUACACUUACGGCCUGAAUGCCUAUGCAUGGGAAUAAUGGAAUAGGACCUCGGUUCUAUUUUGUCGGUUUUCUUUGAACCCGAGGUAUGACUAAUAGGAACAGCGGCACGGGGGCAUUCGUAUUGCGACGCUAGAGGUGAAAUUCUUGGACCGUCGCCAAGACGAACUACUGCGAAAGCAUUGCCAAGGAUGUCUUUCAUUAAUCCAAGAAACGAAAGUUAAGAAGGUUCGAAGGCGAUCAAAGAUUACCGCCCUAGUUCUAACCAUAAAACGAUGCUGACCAAGCGAUCCGCCGGCGUUAUCCAUGACCCGGCGGGCAGCUUCGGGGAAACCAAAGUCUUUGGGUUCCGGAAAUAUGGUUGCAAAGCUGAAACUUAAAGGAAUUGACGAAGGGCACCACCAGGAGUGGAGCCUCGGCUUAAUUUGACUCAACACGGGAACCUCACCAGGCCCAGACACCGGAAGGAUUGACAGAUUGGAGAGCUCUUUCUCGAUUCGGUGGUAUGGUGGGGGCAUGGCCGUUCUUAGUUGGUGGAGCACGAUUGUCUGGUUAAUUCGAUAACGAAACGAGACUCUGCGCCUACUAACUAGUCGGCGAUCUCCAGCAAUUUUUGGUGUCCAGUUCGCAAGCUUCUUCUUAGAGGGAUAAGCGCGGCAAACUUUAGCCGCACACGACGAUUGGAGAAAGCAAUAACAGGUCUUGAGAUGCCCUUAGAUGUCUGGGCCGCACGCGCGCUACACUGAAGGAUCAUACGUGUCUCCUCCCCCUCCGAGAGGAGCGGGUAACCCGUUGAAAUCCUUUCAUGAUAGGGAUUGGGGUUUGCAAUUGCUCUCCCAUUGAACGAGGAAUUCCCAGUAAGCGCAAGUCAUGAGCUUGCGUUGAUUACGUCCCUGCCCUUUGUACACACCGCCCGUCGCUACUACCGAUUGAAUGAUUUUAGUGAGGCCUUCGACUGUGCGCUCUUGGAUGCCGGGCCCACGCGGUUCCGCCGCUGGGCUUUCGGCGCCCCGAGUCUGACGGAAAGAUGUCCAAACUAUCAUUUUAGUAGUGAAGUAAAAAGUGUAACCAACGUCCGUAGUGAACCUGCGUUGG